UUUCCAUGGCAGCCCACGCAUCUGGGGAUCUUGUUAAAGCUCCAGGGAAUCUAGUCAUCAGUACCUAUGGGACAGGUAAGCCAACCAAUAAGAGAGACUUUCUAUCUUGCCUAGGCUAUUCGAUAGCGGACAUAGUGGAUUAGUUAGUAAUGCCAUCAGUACCUAUGUGACAUGUCCUGACAUAACCAAGACAGUUACGUCAGACUUGAAGCUUGGAGAUGAUGGUGUACUGCUUCAUAUUGACUUGGCUAAAGGAAAACGACGACUUGGUGGAUCUGCUCUUGCCCAGGUUUUUGAUCAAA
rnacentral:lncRNA from 1 species